GCCCACAGUCCUACCACCCUAAACACUCCCGAUCUCAUAUGAUCUUAGAAGCUAAGUGGGAUGGGGCCUGGUUAGUACUUGAAUGGCAGAACCUGUUGUGAAGGAGCACCCUGUUGAAGGUG
rnacentral:rRNA from 1 species